rnacentral:rRNA from 1 species
UACGUAGGGUGCGAGCGUUAAUCGGAAUUACUGGGCGUAAAGCGUGCGCAGGCGGUUCUCCAAGUCCGUUGUGAAAGCCCCGGGCUCAACCUGGGAAUUGCAUUUGAGACUGAAUAGCUAGGGUGCGGAAGAGGGAAGCGGAAUUUCCGGUGUAGCGGUGAAAUGCGUAGAUAUCGGAAGGAACACCAGUGGCGAAAGCGGCUUCCUGGUCCAGCACCGACGUUCAGGCACGAAAGCGUGGGGAGCAAACGGG